rnacentral:rRNA from 1 species
UACGUAGGGUGCAAGCGUUAAUCGGAAUUACUGGGCGUAAAGCGUGCGCAGGCGGUUAUGCAAGACAGAUGUGAAAUCCCCGGGCUAACCUGGGAACCGCAUUUGUGACUGCAUAGCUGGAGUACGGGCAGAGGGGGAGUGGAAUUCCGCGUGUAGCAGUGAAAUGCGUAGAGAUGUGGAGGAACACCGGAUGGCGAAGGCAGCCCCCUGGGUCAAGAUUGACGCUCGAUGCACGAAAGCGUGGGGAGCAAACAGG